rfam:Tumebacillus flagellatus strain GST4 Contig005, whole genome shotgun sequence.
GAGACGGUAUCCAAAGCUGAACUGUACUCCCGACGUGAUGGAAACUGUACGACCCUUGAAUUCCAACUUUACACAUCUGCUCUGAGCCGAUUCGGACCGAGACAGGGAA